AGAGUUUGAUCCUGGCUCAGAGUGAACGCUGGCGGCGUGCCUAACACAUGCAAGUCGAGCGAGGUAACUGUUUGUAGCAAUACAAACGUGUGCCUAGCGGCAGACGGGUGAGUAACACGUAGACAACCAUCCUCUCAGCGGGGGAUAGCCUACCGAAAGGUGGGGGUAAUACCGCGUACGAUCCAAAUCCGGCAUCGGAUUUGAAGAAACAUCUGCAAAGAUGGCUGAGAGACGGGUCUGCGGCCUAUCAGCUAGUUGGUGAGGUAAUGGCUCACCAAGGCUACGACGGGUAACCGGCCUGAAAGGGUGAACGGUCACACUGACACUGAGACACGGGUCAGGCUCCUACGGGAGGCAGCAGUGAGGAAUCUUGGACAAUGGGGGAAACCCUGAUCCAGCGACGCCGCGUGAAGGAUGAAGGUCUUCGGAUUGUAAACUUCUUUUUACCGGGAAUAAGAAGCCUGUAGAGAUAUAGGAAGCGAAUGUACCGGUUGAAUAAGCCACGGCUAACUUCGUGCCAGCAGCCGCGGUAAUACGAGGGUGGCAAGCGUUACUCGGAAUGACUAGGCGUAAAGGGCAGGUAGGUGGUUGGAUAAGUCUGUUGUGAAAGCUCCUGGCUUAACUGGGAGAGGCCAACGGAUACUGUUUAACUUGAGUAUGGGAGAGGGUACUGGAAUUCCCGGUGUAGCGGUGAAAUGCGCAGAUAUCGGGAGGAACACCGAUGGCGAAAGCAGGUACCUGGACCAUUACUGACACUAAGCUGCGAAAGCUAGGGGAGCAAACAGGAUUAGAUACCCUGGUAGUCCUAGCUGUAAACGGUGCACAUUAGGCGUGGGGGGUAUCGACCCCCUCUGUGCCGACGCUAACGCAUUAAAUGUGCCGCCUGGGGAGUACGGCCGCAAGGUUGAAACUCAAAGGAAUUGACGGGGGCCCGCACAAGCGGU
rnacentral:rRNA from 1 species